AUUGAACGCUGGCGGCAUGCCUUACACAUGCAAGUCGAACGGCAGCACGGGAGCAAUCCUGGUGGCGAGUGGCGAACGGGUGAGUAAAGUAUCGGAACGUGCCCAGUCGGGGGGGAUAACGUAGCGAAAGUUACGCUAAUACCGCAUACGAUCUAUGGAUGAAAGCGGGGGAUCGCAAGACCUCGCGCGAUUGGAGCGGCCGAGAUCAGAUUAGGUAGUUGGUGGGGUAAAGGCUCACCAAGCCGACGAUCUGUAGCUGGUCUGAGAGGACGCACAGCCACACUGGGACUGAGACACGGCCCAGAAUCCUACGCGAGGCAGCAAUGGGUGAUUUUGGACAAUGUGCGAAAGCCUGAUCCAGCCAUGCCGCGUGCAGGAUGAAGGCCUGCGGGUUGUAAACUGCUUUUGUACGUAACGAAAAGGUUUGGCCUAAUAAGCUGAGCUCAUGACGGUACCGUAAGAAUAAGCACCGGCUAACUACGUGCCAGCCGCCGCAGUAA
rnacentral:rRNA from 1 species